CGCCAGACUCCUACGGGAGGCAGCAGUGGGGAAUAUUGCACAAUGGGGGGAACCCUGAUGCAGCGACGCCGCGUGGGUGAAGGAGUAUUUCGGUAUGUAAAGCCCUAUCAGCAGGGAAGAACAAUGACGGUACCUGACUAAGAAGCACCGGCUAAAUACGUGCCAGCAGCCGCGGUAAUACGUAUGGUGCAAGCGUUAUCCGGAUUUACUGGGUGUAAAGGGAGCGCAGGCGGUACGGCAAGUCUGAUGUGAAAGCCCGGGGCUCAACCCCGGUACUGCAUUGGAAACUGUCGGACUAGAGUGUCGGAGGGGUAAGUGGAAUUCCUAGUGUAGCGGUGAAAUGCGUAGAUAUUAGGAGGAACACCAGUGGCGAAGGCGGCUUACUGGACGAUUACUGACGCUGAGGCUCGAAAGCGUGGGGAGCAAACAGGAUUAGAUACCCCAGUA
rnacentral:rRNA from 1 species